CCUACGAGAGGCAGCAGUGGGGAAUAUUGCACAAUGGGGGAAACCCUGAUGCAGCGACGCCGCGUGAGUGAAGAAGUAAUUCGUUAUGUAACGCUCUAUCAGCAGGGAAGAAAAUGACGGUACCUGAGUAAGAAGCCCCGGCUAACUACGUGCCAGCAGCCGCGGUACUACGAAGGGGGCAUGCGUUAUCCGGAUUUACUGGGUGUAAAGGGAGCGUAGCCGGCAGUGCAAGUCUGGAGUGAAAGGCGGGGGCUCAACCCCCGGACUGCUUGGGAAACUGUACGGCUGGAGUGCAGGAGAGGUAAGUGGAAGUCCUAGUGUAGCGGUGAAAUGCGUAGAUAGUAGGAGGAACACCAGUGGCGAAGGCGGCUUACUGGACUGUAACUGACGUUGAGGCUCGAAAGCGUGGGGAGCAAACAGGAUUAGAUACCCCAGUAGUC
rnacentral:rRNA from 1 species